UACCCGAGGCCCAAGUGAUGGCCAUCCUUAUUGGGUCUAAAGCGUCCGUAGCCGGUUUGAUAAGUUCUUGGUGAAAUCCUUCGGCAAACUGAAGGGCUUGCUGAGAAUACUAUCAGACUUGAGACCGGGAGAGGUAAGAGGUACUCAUAGGGUAGGGGUUAAAUCCUGUAAUCCUAUGGGGACCACCUGUGGCGAAGGCGUCUUACUGGAACGGGUCUGACGGUGAGGGACGAAAGCGUGGGUAG
rnacentral:rRNA from 1 species